rnacentral:tmRNA from 1 species
GGGGAUGAAAGGAUUUCGACAGGGUUGUUGAGUCUUGGUCAGCGAGUAGUGGAGUUGCACCACUUUAAAAGUAACACCUUAAAAUUAACUGACAAAAAUAAUUCAGUUGCUCUUGCUGCUUAAUUAGCAGCUUGUGUCCUACCACAGAAUGCCACGGCUGUGAAUAGGGCAUCGUGUUAGUGGCGAACAUGAAUGAUUGAGCUUCUCGGCUUUCAUCAGGUAAUAGAGAAUACCGUAGUCUAAAGGCUGCUUGUCGCCGUUAGAUGAGGGGAAUCAAAAAAGAUAAGCUACACUCGUAGAGCCCUUGAUAAGAUAAUUUUGGACGCGAGUUCGACUCUCGCCAUCUCCACCA